AACCAGCACCUCAAGUGGUCAGGAUGAUUAUUGGGCCUAAAGCAUCCGUAGCCGGCUCUGUAAGUUUUCGGUUAAAUCUGUACGCUCAACGUACAGGCUGCCGGGAAUACUGCAGAGCUAGGGAGUGGGAGAAGUAGACGGUACUCGGUAGGAAGUGGUAAAAUGCUUUGAUCUAUCGAUGACCACCUGUGGCGAAGGCGGUCUACUAGAACACGUCCGACGGUGAGGGAUGAAAGCUGGGGGAGCAAACCGG
rnacentral:rRNA from 1 species